AGGACUAACGCUGGCGGCGUGCCUAACACAUGCAAGUCGAGCGGGGUAGCAAUACCCAGCGGCAGACGGGUGAGUAACACGUGGUCAACCUUCCCGACAGUGGGGGAUAACUAGCCGAAAGGUUAGCUAAUACCGCAUACGAUCUAUGAGGGGCAUCCCUUAUAGAUGAAAGGAGCAAUCCGCUUUCGGACGGGACCGCGUCCCAUUAGCUAGAUGGUGGGGUAAUGGCCUACCAUGGCGACGAUGGGUAGCUGGUUUGAGAGAGCGACCAGCCACACUGGGACUGAGAAACGGCCCAGACUCCUACGGGAGGCAGCAGUGAGGAAUUUUCCGCAAUGGGCGAAAGCCUGACGGAGCGACGCCGCGUGUGGGAAGAAGGCCUUCGGGUCGUAAACCACUGUCGAAGGGGACGAUAAUGACGGUACCCUUGGAGGAAGCCCCGGCUAACUACGCGCCAGCAGCCGC
rnacentral:rRNA from 1 species